rnacentral:rRNA from 1 species
GACGAGGGGUCCAAGCGUUGUUCGGAAUCAUUGGGCGUAAAGCGGGUGUAGGUGGCUUUGUAAGUCAGGAGUGAAAUCCCCGAGCUUAACUUGGGAAGUGCUUUUGAAACUGCAGGGCUUGAGUGUGGGAGAGGAUCGUGGAAUUCCAGGUGUAGUGGUGAAAUACGUAGAUAUCUGGAGGAACACCGGUGGCGAAGGCGGCGAUCUGGCCCAACACUGACACUGAGACCCGAAAGCGUGGGGAUCAAACAGGA